GAAAGAGGCCCCUAGGCCAUAGAGACUGCUAAUCCCUAUUAUCACGGUUAAACUCCGUGGCUCAUUCGA
rnacentral:tRNA from 1 species